UACGUAGGUGGCAAGCGUUGUCCGGAUUUACUGGGCGUAAAGAGCGCGCAGGCGGCCUGAUCAGUCGAAUGUGAAAGCCCCCGGCUCAACUGGGGAGGGUCAUUCGAUACUGUCAGGCUAGAAGGCAGGAGAGGGAAGUGGAAUUCUCGGUGUAGCAGUGAAAUGCGUAGAUCUCGAGAGGAACACCAGUGGCGAAGGCGGGUCUCUGGGCCGAUACUGACGCUGAGGAGCGAAAGCGUGGGGAGCGAACAGG
rnacentral:rRNA from 1 species